rnacentral:sRNA from 1 species
GAUAUUCACCAUACCCUCCUUGAAAUUAAUCUUCUUUGAGCGACGAACAGGUUUGGAGACAUCGAAUUUGACCUUCACACGAACAUAUUCCGUAAUCUGAGACUUGGACGGAUCGAAAGCCACUUCAACAACUUGUCCAACGAAUUCUCCCAACAUAGUAAUCGUUGGGAUAGUGUAGUGGUUAACCGGAAUAUUCCUUAUUUGGACCCAUACUUCUAUGAAUUGGAGGUAGUCAGCCGGAGGGUUCUCAACCCAACGCUCUAUGGCUAAAGUCCACUCAUUGAAGGUAUGAACACCCUUUGCUAGAAUUCCCAACAGAUCUUACUCGUAAGAGAAAAUGAACUGAAACCUCUCAUUAGAAAGCGCAAUUCCUCUUACCCUCUCACUGAUUUGCCAUUUCCUGGGAAGAUUCUGGAUGAGAUUGGACAUCUUCUGACUGUUUGGGUUCAGAACACGACCCACCAAACUCAACACAUUCUUCUCACUAGAACAGAAUUCAGGUAAAUCCGGCAUCGUAAACGGCUCAUCCUCCUCCUCUAAGGACAUUGCCAUUAAAGCCCGAUCGAUGCUAGCUGACAUAGUAACGGAUCUUGAAACUUCGAGAAAAACAGCGAGAAACAGUUUAAAACAAACCCUAGCUGAUGAAGAGAAACGGCUUAGCUUUUGAAGAUUAAACUGAAAGUAGGUUAAAGAUACGGCUAAGAGGAAAGAAACACCACGACUAAAGCUCUAUUCCACUUAGAAGCGAAUACUCUAAGAGAGAAAGAAGGUCUUAAGCCCAAAAGAGGGAAGCUGAAAAUUUUCAAAAGAGGGAAGCUGGUCAGUUUUAUGUUUUCUUAUAUAAAAUCUAUAAUAUUAGUAGGCUUUAUGAUAAAUUGUUACUACAACCACUCCGAAGCAACUAUUGCCCGCAAACGCACCUGUUUCCAACUGAAAUCAGAAAAAGUGCCAACAAGAUAUCCAUAACAACACAAACAAAAUCACAUAGAAGACUCUGUUUCAAGUUCCAACAACACAUUAUUCAAAACCCACUCUUUACUUACUCACUUACUCUCUUCUGCUAAGAUUAGCCAAGCUCAUCAAGAAUUAAUCCCCUGACGAUAAUAAUGAUCCUACAGCCUCCUCCAUGCUCUUCCCAUUUGGAUUCUUGUUCCAUUCCAACAUUUUUCUAAAAGUCUCCACGAAUUUCUCCGCGUGAACCACUCUCCAUUCCUACACACACACACACACAAAA